rnacentral:rRNA from 1 species
AGAGUUUGAUCCUGGCUCAGGAUGAAUGCUGGCGGCGUGGCUAAGGCAUGCAAGUCGAAUGCCUGUAGCAAUACAGACAUGGCAAACGGGAGAGUAACACAUUGGUAACUUACCCCAAAGACGAGGAUAACCUUGCGAAAGCGAGAAUAAUACUCGAUGGUAUUAAGAAUUAUAAGAUUCUUAAUUAAAGCUCCGGCGCUUUGGGAGAGGCCUAUGGCCUAUCAGCUAGUUGGUGAGGUAAUAGCUCACCAAGGCAACGACAGGUAUGGGGUGCGAGAGCAUGGCCCCACUCACUGGGACUGAGACACUGCCCAGACUCCUACGGGAGGCUGCAGUCGCGAAUCUUCCUCAAUGGGCGAAAGCCUGAAGGAGCGACGCCGCGUGUAUGAAGAAGCCCUUCGGGGUGUAAAAUACUUUUAACUGUGACGAAUCAAUGACGGUAACAGUUGAAUAAGGGGCUGCUAACCUCGUGCCAGCAGCAGCGGUAAUACGAGGGCCCCAAGCAUUAUCCGGAUUUAUUGGGCGUAAAGCGUCCGCAGGUGGUUUAUCACAUCUUCUGUUAAAUCUCGAGGCUCAACCUCGAACCAGCGGGAGAGAUGGAUAGACUAGAGACUGGAAGAGGCAAACGGAAUUGCUGGUGUAGGGGUUAAAUCCAUUAAUAUCAGCAAGAACACCAAAUGCGAAGGCAGUUUGCUAGGACAGUUCUGACACUCAUUGGACGAAAGCGUGGGGAGCGAAUGGGAUUAGAUACCCCAGUAGUCCACGCCGUAAACGAUGGAUACUAAGCAUUGGAAGUAUCGACCCUUUCAGUGCUGUUAAUUUAAGGUAACGCGUUAAGUAUCCCGCCUGGGGAGUACGACCGCAAGGUUAAAACUCAAAGGAAUUGACGGGGACCCG